GAUGAACGCUAGCGGCAGGCCUAAUACAUGCAAGUCGAACGGUGUAGCAAUACACAGUGGCGCACGGGUGCGUAACACGUAUGCAACCUACCUUACAUUGGGGGAUAGCCUUUCGAAAGGGAGAUUAAUACCGCAUAAGACAGUAACUGGGCAUCCAGUAGCUGUUAAAGAUUUAUCGAUGUAAGCUGGGCAUGCGUCCAAUUAGUUAGUUGGCGAGGUAAUGGCUCACCAAGACGAUGAUUGGUAGGGGAACUGAGAGGUCAAUCCCCCACACUGGCACUGAGAUACGGGCCAGACUCCUACGGGAGGCAGCAGUAGGGAAUAUUGGGCAAUGGGCGCAAGCCUGACCCAGCCAUGCCGCGUGCAGGAAGAAGGCGUUAUGCGUUGUAAACUGCUUUUAUACAGGAAGAAACGACCCUUGCGAGGGGCAUUGACGGUACUGUAUGAAUAAGCACCGGCUAACUCCGUGCCAGCAGCCGCCGUAAUAC
rnacentral:rRNA from 1 species